UAUCAUGAAGAAAAAACCAGCAUGUUGCUUCUGUAAAAAAUGAAAAGAAAGUUUGGUGUCUUGUUAUUGAUGAUGUCGAUGGUGGUUAGGUUGAAACACGGAGGGGGUAGUCGCGAGUUGGUUAUGGAAAUGAGUUAUGAUUCGUGUCGGCGGUGUGAACAAUUAGUUGAGGGAGAGAUGUGUGUCUUUUUUUAUGUUGGGUAGUAAGGGAGGUGAAUAUAUAAAGUCCAGUUUGUGUUUAGCGUGAAGAGAGAUGCAUGGACUGGAAAAACAAUGUCCAAGUUUUUGUGUGGAAAUGAACAUGAAGUGACAAAAAAAGGAAAGUCACGGAGUGCCUUUCUUUUUUAUGGAAAACGAAUCCCAAUAUCUCUCUCUUUUGUUUUUUAUUUUUUUGUCAAUGUUCUGAAUAAUGAGAGAGAAUCCUCU
rnacentral:lncRNA from 1 species